rnacentral:tRNA from 1 species
GCGGACAUAGCUCAACGGUAGAGCGCCGGCUUGAAACCCCGGAGGUAGAGGUUCGAUUCCUUUUGUCCACACCA